rnacentral:rRNA from 1 species
GAUGAACGCUGGCGGCGUGCCUAAUACAUGCCAGUCGAGCGAACAGACGAGGAGCUUGCUCCUCUGACGUUAGCGGCGGACGGGUGAGUAACACGUGGAUAACCUACCUAUAAGACUGGGAUAACUUCGGGAAACCGGAGCUAAUACCGGAUAAUAUAUUGAACCGCAUGGUUCAAUAGUGAAAGACGGUUUUGCUGUCACUUAUAGAUGGAUCCGCGCCGCAUUAGCUAGUUGGUAAGGUAACGGCUUACCAAGGCAACGAUGCGUAGCCGACCUGAGAGGGUGAUCGGCCACACUGGAACUGAGACACGGUCCAGACUCCUACGGGAGGCAGCAGUAGGGAAUCUUCCGCAAUGGGCGAAAGCCUGACGGAGCAACGCCGCGUGAGUGAUGAAGGUCUUCGGAUCGUAAAACUCUGUUAUUAGGGAAGAACAAAUGUGUAAGUAACUAUGCACCUCUUGACGGUACCUAAUCAGAAAGCCACGGCUAACUACGUG